UGCAUGUCUAAGUACAUGCCGUUAUAAGGCGAAACCGCGAAUGGCUCAUUAAAUCAGUUAUGGUUCCUUAGAUCGUACCUUACUACUUGGAUAACUGUGGUAAUUCUAGAGCUAAUACAUGCAGCAGAGCUCCGACCUUUCAGGGACGAGCGCUUUUAUUAGACCAAGACCAAUCGGACCUCGUGUCCGUAUCUUAUGGCGACUCUGAAUAACUUUGGGCUGAUCGCAAGGGCUUGUCCCGGCGACGCAUCUUUCAAGUGUCUGCCUUAUCAACUGUCGAUGGUAGGUUAUGCGCCUACCAUGGUCGUAACGGGUAACGGGGAAUCAGGGUUCGAUUCCGGAGAGGGAGCCUGAGAAACGGCUACCACAUCCAAGGAAGGCAGCAGGCGCGCAAAUUACCCACUCCCGGCACGGGGAGGUAGUGACGAAAAAUAACAAUACGGGACUCUUUUGAGACCCCGUAAUUGGAAUGAGUACACUCUAAAUCCUUUAACGAGGAUCUAUUGGAGGGCAAGUCUGGUGCCAGCAGCCGCGGUAAUUCCAGCUCCAAUAGCGUAUAUUAAAGUUGUUGCGGUUAAAAAGCUCGUAGUUGGAUCUCAGUUCCAGACGGGUGGUCCGCCUACCGGUGGUUACUGCCUGGCCUGAACAGCCAGCCGGUUACUCUAGAUGAUCUUCACCGGUUGUCUAAAAUGACCGGCACGUUUACUUUGAAAAAAUUAGAGUGCUCAAAGCAGGCGUGACGCCUGAAUAAUGGUGCAUGGAAUAAUGGAAUAGGACCUCGGUUCUAUUUUGUUGGUUUUCGGAACACGAGGUAAUGAUUAAGAGGGACAGACGGGGGCAUUCGUAUUGCGACGCUAGAGGUGAAA
rnacentral:rRNA from 1 species